GGGUGGAAAGACUUCUGGCUGUGACACAUCACCUGCAUUGACCACCUGAUUGAUCAGCUGAUCUAGCUAACUAGGCGGAUAUUCCCUCCCUUCUCCACUCCAUGUGCAUCCCUCCUGGAGCUACCUGCUGGAUGGAAGAGAAUGACCUGCCCCUNACCAAGAAGGACCGAUCUUGGGUCAAGGGUACAGGAGUAGUUGCACUCCCCGGCUAGAAGCUGAAUGCAUGUUUUCAUCUCCACUGUUAGACUUGAUGCAGACAAGGGUGAUCACU
rnacentral:snRNA from 1 species